UGCCUGUACCAUAACCGACACAGGUGGGUAGGUAGAGUAUACUAAGGGGCGCGAGAUAACUCUCUCUAAGGAACUCGGCAAAAUGACUCCGUAACUUCGGGAGAAGGAGUGCCUUAUUUAUAAGGUUGCAAUAACAAGAUCCAAGCAACUGUUUAUCAAAAACACAGGUCUCCGCUAAGUCGUAAGACGAUGUAUGGGGGCUGACGCCUGCCCAGUGCCAGAAGGUUAAAGAAGUUGGUUAGUGUAUGCGAAGCUGAUGACUGAAGCCCUGGUGAACGGCGGCCGUAACAAUAACGGUCCUAAGGUAGCGAAAUUCCUUGUCGGGUAAGUUCCGACCCGCACGAAAGGCGUAAUGAUUUGGAUACUGUCUCGGAGAGAGGCUCGGUGAAAUAGACUUGUCUGUGAAGAUGCGGACUACCUGCACCAGGACAGAAAGACCCUAUGAAGCUUUACUGUAACUUGAAAUUGGAAUUGGACUUUGCUUGCGCAGUAUAGGUGGGAAGCGUUGAAGAUAUUCUUGCGGGAGUAUUGGAGCUAUCAGUGAGAUACCACUCUUGUAAUGUUAGAUUUCUAACUUUGAACCAUAAUCUGGUCAAAGAACAGUUUCAGGUGGGCAGUUUGACUGGGGCGGUCGCCUCCCAAAUGGUAACGGAGGCGUACAAAGGUUUCCUCUGAACGGAUAGAAAUCGUAUCUAGAGUGUAAAGGCAUAAGGAAGCUUGACUGUGAGACCUACAAGUCGAGCAGGGACGAAAGUCGGUCUUAGUGAUCUGACGGUACUGAGUGGAAAGGCCGUCACUCAACGGAUAAAAGUUACUCUAAGGAUAACAGGCUGAUCUCCCCCAAGAGUUCACAUCGACGGGGAGGUUUGGCACCUCGAUGUCGGCUCAUCGCAUCCUGGGGCGGUAGUACGUCCCAAGGGUUGGGCUGUUCGCCCAUGAAAGCGGUACGCGAGCUGGGUUCAGAACGUCGUGAGACAGUUCGGUCCAUAUCCGGUGUAGGCGUUAGAAUAUUGAGAGGAGCCUUCUUUAGUACGAGAGGACCGAGAAGGACACACCGCUGGUGUACCAGUUAUCGUGCCAACGGUAAACGCUGGGUAGCUAUGUGUGGAGUGGAUAACCGCUGAAAGCAUCUAAGUGGGAAGCCCACCUCAAGAUGAGUAUUCUCAUCACUAUAAGUGAGUAAGGUCACGGUAAGACUAACCGUUUGAUAGGCAUUAAGUGUAAAUGUAGUAAUGCAUGUGCUGAGAUGUCCUAACAGACCGAGGACUUG
rnacentral:rRNA from 1 species